rnacentral:rRNA from 1 species
GAUGAACGCUAGCUACAGGCUUAACACAUGCAAGUCGAGGGGAAACGGCAUCGAAAGCUUGCUUUUGAUGGGCGUCGACCGGCGCACGGGUGAGUAACGCGUAUCCAACCUGCCCAUCACUUGGGAAUAACCUUGCGAAAGUAAGACUAAUGCCCAAUGACAUCCCACGAAGGCAUCCGAAUGGGAUUAAAGAUUUAUCGGUGAUGGAUGGGGAUGCGUCUGAUUAGCUUGUUGGCGGGGUGACGGCCCACCAAGGCAACGAUCAGUAGGGGUUCUGAGAGGAAGGUCCCCCACAUUGGAACUGAGACACGGUCCAAACUCCUACGGGAGGCAGCAGUGAGGAAUAUUGGUCAAUGGGCGAGAGCCUGAACCAGCCAAGUAGCGUGCAGGAUGACGGCCCUAUGGGUUAUAAACUGCUUUUAUAAGGGAAUAAAGUGGGUCACGUGUGACUUUUUGCAUGUACCUUAUGAAUAAGAACCGGCUAAUUCCGUG